rnacentral:rRNA from 1 species
UACGAAGGGGGGCUAGCGUUGCUCGGAAUCACUGGGCGUAAAGCGCACGUAGGCGGCUUUUUAAGUCAGGGGUGAAAUCCUGGAGCUCAACUCCAGAACUGCCUUUGAUACUGAGAGCUUGAGUCCGGGAGAGGUGAGUGGAACUGCGAGUGUAGAGGUGAAAUUCGUAGAUAUUCGGCAAGAACACCAGUGGCGAAGGCGGCUCACUGGCCCGGUACUGACGCUGAGGUGCGAAAGCGUGGGGAGCGAACAGG